rnacentral:tRNA from 1 species
GGCGAGGUAGCUCAGCUGGUUAGAGCGCGAAGCUCAUACCUUCGAUGUCGGCGGUUCGAGCCCGCCCCUCGCUA